GACGAACGCUGGCGGCGUGCCUAAUACAUGCAAGUCGAACGCACUCUCGUUUAGAUUGAAGGAGCUUGCUCCUGAUUGAUAAACAUUUGAGUGAGUGGCGGACGGGUGAGUAACACGUGGGUAACCUGCCCUAAAGUGGGGGAUAACAUUUGGAAACAGAUGCUAAUACCGCAUAAAACCUAACACCGCAUGGUGUAGGGUUGAAAGAUGGUUUCGGCUAUCACUUUAGGAUGGACCCGCGGUGCAUUAGUUAGUUGGUGAGGUAAAGGCUCACCAAGACCGUGAUGCAUAGCCGACCUGAGAGGGUAAUCGGCCACACUGGGACUGAGACACGGCCCAGACUCCUACGGGAGGCAGCAGUAGGGAAUCUUCCACAAUGGACGAAAGUCUGAUGGAGCAACGCCGCGUGAGUGAAGAAGGUUUCGGAUCGUAAAACUCUGUUGUUGGAGAAGAAUGUAUCUGAUAGUAACUGAUCAGGUAGUGACGGUAUCCGAACCAGAAAAGCCCAACGGG
rnacentral:rRNA from 1 species